GCCUGGGUGGCUCAAUCGGUGAAGCGUCCUGACUUCAGCUCAGGUCAUGAUCUCAUGGUUCGUGGGUUCGAGCCCCACGUCGAGUU
rnacentral:tRNA from 1 species